AUGGCUUUAGAAAGAUCUUCAUGCUACCCAAGAGAGGAUAUCUAAGUUUGAGUAUUCAGAGAAUGUGGUUGCUAAGUAUUGACUGAGGGAGAGUUGGUAGAUGAUCAUGGGAUCUCAGGGCUUGGUUAGACAAGGAUCAAUCGAUCUCAUGUCUCUGGAUGAUACGGUCCGACAUACGUUCAAUGUGGGUUAUAUGGCUGGCUUUUGAAUGUGUCAGAAUCGGAUCAAGAUGGCAUUCCUGGGCUUCGAUCUCUCCAACUUUUCUUCCAAAGGCAAUGCCAACCCCUCUACCAUCUGAGGUAGGUCUAGGGGCAUGGAGAUCCGCAACCUCGAUCCUAAUGGUG
rnacentral:lncRNA from 1 species